GUCCCUGUAGCGCAAUGGAUAGCGCGUUAAACUUCUAAUUCCAAUGGAAGUGGAUUCGAAUCCCACCAGGGAUG